GAUUUAUCAUUGUUAUAAAAGACGUGCACUUUGAUUCUGUGAUCAAAGAGUCAAUCAACGGAGAUGAUCUAAUGGGGACCCCGAUCUGGCGGUGGGAAGCUACUGAUUGAGUUUUUGCUUGGACGGCUGAGAGAAACUCACGGUAUUGUUAAGCGUCUCGGUGUGCGGGGACCAAAUAUAAUGUGUUUUAUUCCCAACAUAAAACCAAUACUAAUAACAAGCCAGUUUCAUCGAGUUUCCUGCAACUUUUGAUCUUCUUCGACGCCCUAAUUUUCGAUGUUCGUUAACAGAUAAUCAGAAUUCACGGAUAGCGUAAUCAUCAAUUAAACCUUUGGAUUGUUGAUUCUCACUGGGUUGUAAUAAGGUUUGUAAUAUUAUUGCAAUUUAGGGUAUUAGCUUUUAGGCAAAAUCAUUGUUUUCUCUAUGGGUUUUUCUGGGCUUACCAAAUUCUAGGGUUUUUACGUUUUCGUCUUAGUCAUCAACUGUUGCUGGAGUUGAUGUCAAUCCUCCUCCACCAUCUGCAACAACAACCAUCUCCGAUUUGAUUCAUGCCAAAGUAACAACAGGAAAUGGCAAUUCAAUGAUGAAGGAGCUUUAAUUGAGGUAUUCCGUGCACCUGUUCAGAUAUAGAAUUAGAACUUCUCAUCUGUAAUUCUUAUAUGUUGGCGUUCAUGAGUUCCUCUUAUUAGUUUUUUUCUACUUGACGGGUAUCAGAAGCUCCAACAACCCUCUAUGUAUCAGUAGUGAAUAUCUUAAAAACAAGACUAUGAUAGAAGUUUCAAUAAACCUCUAUGGUUACUUCCCUUAUUGUAUGGUCCUUUAUGUUAUUUCAAAAGCAUACUUUUCAGUAUAUGUUUCAUUUAACAUGCUUUAAAUUUCUUUUGGUUACCCCUUUAAUUAAUCAUAUUCUGCUGUCCAUCGUUACUAUUUUAGGAAUGAACAUGUGUGUGAUUUAAACAUCUCAGUCGGGUAAUUUUCAAUCUCUGUACAUUUAUUUUGUCAAUUUACUUGGGUUGGUAUGUAUCUUUCUCAAGCUUAUGUCGUAUUUCUCGGAAGGAUAUCAGUGUGUUUUAUUCGUCUACAUUAGUCGAUAAAUAAGUUAUUGUUGCUGGAACACUAACUUUCAGGCAUUUGAUUUUAUUAGAUAUCUAUCAAUGUCUAUCAUUUCCAUAUACUCAUUCACAAUGAGAAAGGACGGAUUGACACCUGUAAGUGGAAUCCUAUGAAGAACUAUCACUACUAACUGAAUUGGAUUAGUCUUAAUGUGUCUAAUUUUCACUUCGGCAGUGGUAAGAGUAAUUAGGUAUAUGACUACUAACCCAAUUUCAGUUAGACCAUAUCAGCAUCACCAACUGUAUAGUUUUUGAGAGUUCCGCUCAACCUCAAAGUGCAAGAGGUAUGUUGAUUUGAAUUACUACUUUUGUCUUAUUACUCUAAUAUUGUAUGCCUCAACUGCCCUAUUGUCCAGAAAAUAAACUGACUACCCAUCUGUGGACAAGAUCAUUGGGGACAAGAGGUAUGUUGAUUUGAAUUACUACUUUUGUCCAUGUUACUCUAAUAUUUUAUGCCUCAACUGCCUUAUUGUCCAGAAAAUAAACUGACUACCCAUCUGUGGAUAGGAUCAUUGGGGAUCUUGAAGCUCCAUUAUAGAUAAACCUCAAAUAGAAUCAAGAUAUUUUGUUUAACUGGAAAAAUGACCUUAGUUUUACACUUUUACUCAUUUGAGUUUUAUAACUGUAGAGUCACAUGAUUUUUCACUCUUUUUUUGUAUUUAUCCUAUAUGUUGCUCUUAUAGCAAUAAUACAUACUCAGACCCCUUCCAACAUAAGUAAUCUUAGAUUUUUAAAGUUGAUGUUUCAGAGGUUCUGUGAUGGAUCCCUUGAAAGCAUAUACGACUAUGAAAUACUUAUCAAGUAGAGGAAAAACACGAUACCUUACGAUUAGUGAAACAAACUUUAUUGAGGUACUGCAUAUUCUUAGUUAAUAUAUCUUUGUAACGGUAAUCGUAUUGAUAACCAAAUUGUUUUCCGAAAUAUGAUUUUAUAACUAGCAUAUUAGACUGCAUGUUUAACAAGGUGGUAAUGUUAUCAGAGGGAUGCCCUGUCUACUAUGGACCUGCAUCAACUUCCUUGGAUUAUAUCUCUUUAAUUGGAUUUCCACUUCUGUCAUUGUCAACCCAGCUAACCUUUUAAUUGAUCUCCCAAAUGGUACAUAGUCUUUUCUCACCUUUGCAAUUGUCUCAUGUCUUCUCAUGAAAAGAACAUACCUACAAGGAUGAAGGCUGAGCUCAGUGGUGUUGUCAACAUCAACCAUCAAUAACUCUUGAUAUUUGUCUGCUCGCUACUGUUGAUAUACUCAACUGUUAGUAGUGUAUACGAUUCUUCAUUUGCUUUGCAUCUGUUCUAGUUUUCAUCCCCUCCAAAUUGAUUUACAGAUUUUGGUUCACGGAAUCAUCAAAAUAGAAUGGUUGAUCUGUAUUUGAUUAUUCUGAAGAGUGACUUUUGAUGCGACUGGAUGAUGCAGGGAACACGGUGAAGUCAGAGACUUGGAAGAGUGGGGACUAAUGGUGGUCUGAGUAUGUCAUAUUAAGCUAACUCUACACUGUUAAUCUAUUUUGGGUGAACCCUUUUUAAAUUGCUGUGUUAUUUACUGUGCAAGAUUUUAGAUCAAAUGAACCAUCAUAACCGGUUGCCUAGCAUGUCAAUUAGGGAUAUACGAUGUACAGGGUUCAGGGUCCUAGACUAUAAAAAUUCGAAAUUUUUUGAGUCUUUGAUAGCACAACACUUCACGGAUGGCGUUAUAUUUAUCUCUGGAGAAAAGUUUUUGAUAUUGCUGUUAGAGGAGAUCUAUUGGGAAUUGAUGAUCAGGAGUUUGCUAACAUGGUUAAUAAUGGAAAAGUCGCAGACAUAUAAAGAACAAAGUAUUUAUCACUCAUUGGCUUCUCAGGUACUGAGAUGAUAAGGUUAAGAUGUUUCCGGCAACUUAAAUGGAAAACACUUGCUCCAAGUUUUCUUUUACUGAUUUUGAUGACAUGCAAGCAAUUAACAAUACUUAUUUUACUUUAGCGGGAUUCUAUCACGACGAGAUCAAGAUCUUCUAGAAGUUUCUUUACAGGGGAAACUUGGUUAGAGAAGAGUUUGAGAAGCCUUAACGGUUAGCUAGCUGACAAGUACGUGUUUCCAUAGUUACAGAAGUUUCAUGGGCAAUGGAUUUUAAGAUUAUUGUUUUUGUCAAAUGCACUAAAGGUUCUAAAGAUCUUAAAAAGAAAGUUGACCGAGAUAUUAAAGCUUAAUAAUUUUAAAAAAAUCUGCAAAGCAGAACCAACACUUCAUAGUACAUAUGAAAAAAAAAAAAAAAAAAAAAAUUCUUUAUAGUACAUACUACAAAGAACCCGAUCAGUUAUUUCGGU